UCCCAUUCCUUGAGAGUCAGGUGAGCAUCACCUCAUCGUAGUCCCCAACUGACCAGGGGAAGGGGGGUGACUCACUCAAGAGUCCAACAGAUCCUUUGUUGCUGCCUAGGCCAGUGUCCUUUGUUCCUGUGAGGCUGGGCUGGGUUUGUCCCAUUCCUGCCUGAUGAGGUGUUAACUGCCCCUCUGUUCUCGGAGAGUUUUUGCCUGGGUUUGUUUUAAGCCAGGAA